rnacentral:rRNA from 1 species
CCCCCACCUCUCCCCUUAUUACUCGCCCAUGGCCUUGGAUUGCUUGAGAAUGCAGUCCAAAGUUGGUGGUAAACUCCAUCCAAGGCUAAAUACUGGCACGAGUCCGAUAGUAGACAAGUACCGCGAGGGAAAGUUGAAAAGUACUCUGAAGAGAGAGUAAAUAGUACGUGAAACCGCAUGUAUGGAAGCUGGUGGAGUCAAGCUUCUUAUCUUGGCAAUUGGCAUGGAGAAAUUCUUGUUCGUGGACGUGAGGUCUCACCGGUUUAGCAAGGACCGGACGGUUCGCCGUCUCAUUCAUUAAUGGUAGUCUUAUUGCUGUGAGGUCGAGUGUCCAUUCUCUUCUGCUAUUUGCCUUGAUAGAUAUCACAGUCAAUGUGUAUCGUUGUGUCCGAUGGUUGAACCGUGUUCUGGCGGGCUUCACCGCUCGCUAGGCAUGGGAUGGCAGGUUGAAGUGGGGCAACUUCUGUUGCCUUGCUUCCUAUUCAAGUCUUCACUUGCCGAUCAUCGCGACUCAGCACAAUCAUGCAUAUUGUUCCUUCAGCGCCAGUGUACGAAAUGUCAACUGUCGUUCAGAGCUGUGGUAUUGAAGUAGACGUUCCAUCCGACCCGUCUUGAAACACGGACCAAGGAGUUUAACAUUGCCGCGAGUCAAUGGCCUCUUUACGAAAGCCAAAGGCGCAAUGAAAGUGAAAGAUCGCUUCUCGUGAUCGAAGGUGCGAUGCCUGCCUGUCCUGAUCAAGGGCUGUGGGCCGCAGCACCGGCCCGUCUCGUAAUGUAGUCAAGAUGACCACGGUUGUUUUGCAUCAUUGAGGCGGAGCAAGAGCGGCAAUGUUGAGACGCGAAAUGAGUUGUGGAAAAUAUUAAAA